rnacentral:rRNA from 1 species
CCUACGGGAGGCAGCAGUGGGGGAUAUUGCACAAUGGGGGGAACCCUGAUGCAGCGACGCCGCGUGGGUGAAGGAGCGUUUCGGCGCGUAAAGCCCUAUCGGCAGGGAAGAAGGAGGACGGUACCUGACUAAGAAGCCCCGGCUAACUACGUGCCAGCAGCCGCGGUAAUACGUAGGGGGCAAGCGUUAGCCGGAUUUACUGGGUGGAAAGGGGGCGCAGACGGCAGCGCAAGCCAGGAGUGAAAGCCCGGGGCCCAACCCCGGGACUGCGCUUGGAACUGCGCGGCUGGAGUGCAGGAGGGGCAGGCGGAAUUCCUGGUGUAGCGGUGAAAUGCGUAGAUAUCAGGAAGAACACCGGUGGCGAAGGCGGCCUGCUGGACUGCGACUGACGUUGAGGCCCGAAAGCGUGGGGAGCGAACAGGAUUAGAUACCCCAGUAGUC